AAAAAUGAAAAUUUCCACGGGCA
rnacentral:tRNA from 2 species